GUGCUUAACACAUGCAAGUCGAACGGAAAGGCCCUGCUUGCAGGGUACUCGAGUGGCGAACGGGUGAGUAACACGUGGGUGAUCUGCCCUGCACUUCGGGAUAAGCCUGGGAAACUGGGUCUAAUACCGGAUAGGACCAUCGUUUAGUGUCGGUGGUGGAAAGUUUUUCGGUGCAGGACGAGCUCGCGGCCUAUCAGCUUGUUGGUGGGGUAAUGGCCUACCAAGGCGUCGACGGGUAGCCGGCCUGAGAGGGUGGACGGCCACAUUGGGACUGAGACACGGCCCAGACUCCUACGGGAGGCAGCAGUGGGGAAUAUUGCACAAUGGGCGCAAGCCUGAUGCAGCGACGCCGCGUGGGGGAUGAAGGCCUUCGGGUUGUAAACUCCUUUCAACCAUGACGAAGCAUUAUGUGACGGUAGUGGUAGAAGAAGCACCGGCUAACUACGUGCCAGCAGCCGCGGUAAUACGUAGGGUGCGAGCGUUGUCCGGAAUUACUGGGCGUAAAGAGCUCGUAGGUGGUUUGUCGCGUCGUCUGUGAAAUUCCGGGGCUUAACUCCGGGCGUGCAGGCGAUACGGGCAUAACUUGAGUGCUGUAGGGGAGACUGGAAUUCCUGGUGUAGCGGUGAAAUGCGCAGAUAUCAGGAGGAACACCGAUGGCGAAGGCAGGUCUCUGGGCAGUAACUGACGCUGAGGAGCGAAAGCAUGGGUAGCGAACAGGAUUAGAUACCCUGGUAGUCCAUGCCGUAAACGGUGGGCGCUAGGUGUGGGGGUCUUCCACGACUUCUGUGCCGUAGCUAACGCAUUAAGCGCCCCGCCUGGGGAGUACGGCCGCAAGGCUAAAACUCAAAGGAAUUGACGG
rnacentral:rRNA from 1 species